rnacentral:rRNA from 1 species
UACAGAGGGGUGCAAGCGUUAAUCGGAAUACUGGGCGUAAAGCGUGCGUAGGUGGUUCUUUUAAGUCAGGUGUGAAAUCCCCUGGGCUCAACCUGGGAACUGCAUUUGAUACUGAAGAGCUAGAGUGUGAUAGAGGAUAGUGGAAUUCCCGGUGUAGCGGUGAAAUGCGUAGAUAUCGUGAGGAACACCAGCGGCGAAGGCGGCGCUCUGGGGCCGGAACUGACGCUGAGGAGCGAAAGCGUGGGGAGCGAACAGG